rnacentral:rRNA from 1 species
CAGAAGAAGCGCCGGCUAACUACGUGCCAGCAGCCGCGGUAAUACGUAGGGCGCGAGCGUUAUCCGGAAUUAUUGGGCGUAAAGGGCUCGCAGGCGGUUUGCCGCGUCUGCUGUGAAAGCCCGGGGCUUAACUCCGGGUGUGCAGUGGGUACGGGCAGACUAGAGUGCAGUAGGGGAGACUGGAAUUCCUGGUGUAGCGGUGAAAUGCGCAGAUAUCAGGAAGAACACCGAUGGCGAAGGCAGGUCUCUGGGCUGUUACUGACGCUGAGGAGCGAAAGCAUGGGGAGCGAACAGGAUUAGAUACCCUGGUAGUCCAUGCCGUAAACGUUGGGCACUAGGUGUGGGGGACAUUCCACGUUUUCCGCGCCGUAGCUAACGCAUUAAGUGCCCCGCCUGGGGAGUACGGCCGCAAGGCUAAAACUCAAAGGAAUUGACGGGGGCCCGCACAAGCGGCGGAGCAUGCGGAUUAAUUCGAUGCAACGCGAAGAACCUUACCAAGGCUUGACAUGGACCGGAUCGCUGCAGAGAUGUAGUUUCCCUUCGGGGCUGGUUCACAGGUGGUGCAUGGUUGUCGUCAGCUCGUGUCGUGAGAUGUUGGGUUAAGUCCCGCAACGAGCGCAACCCUUGUCCUAUGUUGCCAGCACGUGAUGGUGGGGACUCAUGGGAGACUGCCGGGGUCAACUCGGAGGAAGGUGGGGAUGACGUCAAAUCAUCAUGCCCCUUAUGUCUUGGGCUUCACGCAUGCUACAAUGGCCGGUACAGUGGGUUGCGAUACUGUGAGGUGGAGCUAAUCCCUAAAAGCCGGUCUCAGUUCGGAUCGAAGUCUGCAACUCGACUUCGUGAAGUUGGAGUCGCUAGUAAUCGCAGAUCAGCAAUGCUGCGGUGAAUACGUUCCCGGGCCUUGUACACACCGCCC